rfam:Aedes albopictus isolate Foshan contig49047, whole genome shotgun sequence.
UAGCCUAGUGGUUAAGGCUAUGGAUCGCCAAUCCGGAGACGGCGGGUUCUAUUCCCGU